rnacentral:misc_RNA from 1 species
CAGAGUUGCAAAACUCCCUAAACCACUGUGAACCUUACCUCUCCGUUGCUUCGGCGGGAGGCCGCGCCCCCCGGGGCCGGCCGUUGGGGACCCCCCCUCGGGGGGGCGACCGCCCGCCGGAGGUACCGAACCCUUCUGUUAUUUUUGGCACUCUGAGUAAGACACUAAAUAAGUCA